rnacentral:lncRNA from 1 species
AAGUUCUGCUCAUUCUCUGUUUUAAACCAAAAUAGAAAUCAAUUUUCGAAAUUGAAUUCCAGCCGGGUCCACAGGGUGCUCACCAAGCAGAGAAACGGAGGCAGCGAGGUCCAGGGAGCGGCGGAGGUGGUGGUUGUUGGCCAACGGCGGCAAAACUCCAGCGUCGACGUCGCCGGGUCGACUCAAGGCACGAAUUGCAACUUCGAGAGUACGGUGGUGUUAGAGAUGAGCCACAGAGGGUGCAUGCACGAGGAAUCCGACGGAAACUCACCGGAGCUUGGUGUUGCUUCGGUGGUGAGGAACGGCGGCCGGAGCGGCGACACGUUCCAUAGGAGGGAAGAGAGAGGGACUCACCGGGGAUGCACGGCGACGACGGCUAAGUCGCCGGAGCCGGGUAAGACGGCCGAGCUCUGGGCAUUCUGUGCGUGGGGAAGAGUGGAGUGGGGGAGUGAGAGAGAGAGGUGGCUGGUGCUUUCAUUGUGUUCCUUGGGCAUCCAUUGGGCAUGGGGGACAGUGGAUGCUGUGAGGGGAGAGUGGGAGGCUGUCAUGUGGGUCCCAGAGGGUGUGGGGCCCACUGUCAGUGAAAGAAAUUCAAAUAUAGCCUUGGAGGCUAAGUCAAAGAGGGUUGCCUACCAAGGAUAUUUGGAGGGGAUUCAAGGUGGAUUUUGUGCAGCAAGAAAUCUGGGCUAG